rnacentral:rRNA from 1 species
AUUGAACGCUGGCGGCAUACCUUACACAUGCAAGUCGAACGGCAGCACGGGGCAACCUGGUGGCGAGUGGCGAACGGGUGAGUAAUGCAUCGGAACGUACCUUUCAGUGGGGGAUAACGUAGCGAAAGUUACGCUAAUACCGCAUAUUCUGUGAGCAGGAAAGCAGGGGAUCGCAAGACCUUGCGCUGAUUGAGCGGCCGAUGUCAGAUUAGCUAGUUGGUGAGGUAAAGGCUCACCAAGGCGACGAUCUGUAGCGGGUCUGAGAGGAUGAUGCGCCACACUGGAACUGAGACACGGUCCAGACUCCUACGGGAGGCAGCAGUGGGGAAUUUUGGACAAUGGGGGCAACCCUGAUCCAGCCAUGCCGCGUGAGUGAAGAAGGCCUUCGGGUUGUAAAGCUCUUUCGGCCGGGAAGAAAUCGCACGGGCUAAUACCCUGUGUGGAUGACGGUACCGGAAUAAGAAGCACCGGCUAACUACGUGCCAGCCGCCGCAGUAAUAC